rnacentral:rRNA from 1 species
GCAGCAGUGGGGAAUCUUGGACAAUGGGCGCAGGCYUGAUCCAGCCAUGCCGCGUGAGUGAUGAAGGCCUUAGGGUCGUAAAGCUCUUUCGCCAGGGAUGAUAAUGACAGUACCUGGUAAAGAAACCCCGGCUAACUCCGUGCCAGCAGCCGCGGUAAUACGGAGGGGGUUAGCGUUGUUCGGAAUUACUGGGCGUAAAGCGUACGUAGGCGGAUUAGUCAGUCAGAGGUGAAAUCCCAGGGCUCAACCCUGGAACUGCCUUUGAUACUGCUAGUCUUGAGUUCGAGAGAGGUGAGUGGAAUUCCAAGUGUAGAGGUGAAAUUCGUAGAUAUUUGGAGGAACACCAGUGGCGAAGGCGGCUCACUGGCUCGAUACUGACGCUGAGGUACGAAAGUGUGGGGAGCAAACAGGAUUAGAUACCCUGGUAGUCCACACCGUAAACGAUGAAUG